rnacentral:rRNA from 1 species
GACAGAGGGUGCAAACGUUGUUCGGAAUUACUGGGCGUAAAGCGCGUGUAGGCGGCAGGGCAAGUCGGAUGUGAAAGCCCACGGCUCAACCGUGGAAGUGCACCCGAAACUGCCCCGCUAGAGUCUCGGAGAGGAAGGUGGAAUGCUUGGUGUAGAGGUGAAAUUCGUAGAUAUCAAGCGGAACACCGGUGGCGAAGGCGGGUCUCUGGGCCGUAACUGACGCUGAGGAGCGAAAGCAUGGGGAGCGAACAGG